AAGUUAGCGCUGUAUUGUCUAUCUUCCCUUUGUCCCUGUUAAGCUGCGCUUGUAACACGAUGUUGUUACGCAGGCUUCGAGGAUACCACUGCAUCGCCAUGGCCUUUCUAUACAUGGCUGUCAUACUGAGGUAAAGGUAAUGCCUCCAGUGCCAGAAGCGGUUGGACCUCGGGCAGUUACGGCGCACCAGGAAAUGCAGAGACAAUUUCCUUAAGUGCUUCGAGUACCGCAGAGAAGAGUCCCAAAGAAGGCACCGUAGGACCGUACGGAGACGAAAAGAAAACCAUCUCGGUCGAAACGGUGGUGCAUAACGUGUUGUUGGGCUAGCAGGCGUAUCUCACUAGCGACUGCAUUAGGAUUCACCUUCCAGAAGGAGUAGUCACUAGAUUCUGGCCGAAAUAGUAUGGGAAUACCACAGGCCCCGUUCUUCCUGUAGGUGACAGUGGUGAGCGGGUAAUCAAGAGUUGCAGCAGUGUGGGCAGCGUUCAUCUGAUCUGUCCGGUGGGGAGCCGCCGGUACCGAAGAGUCCAUGGUGUUACCAGGAACAUUCAUAUCUUGUGGAUUGUCGGCAUCACCCGAGUCAGGGCUCUGAACCCCUUGUCGUUUUGCAGGGCUUGGAGGAACCUGUUGACCUGGAGGGACCUGUUGAUCUGUAGGAAGCGUUAUACAGACAUCGGACCUCGCGUCCACAUCACGGCGGGAGGUCCGUGAAGCUUUCUAAAUGGCUUCUGCUACGGAAUAUCUUGUGACUAAGCUGUAGGAUAUUCCGCGCGGUUAGAAGAGCACGAAAAGGCAUGACCCACAUAGCAGACGCCACCAUUGGUCCUACCUUUUGCUACGGAAUAUCUUGUGACUACAAUAUGCAGACUGCUACUGGUUUCGAGGUCAUACGACAAUACGCCGUUUAAUCAGGACAAGCGCGGCCGGCAGAAGCUCAAACGGAAAAACUGGGGUACAUUUCUUCCAAGGGUCCAACUAUGCAAUGCAUACCCUUCUGUUUUGUUCUUUGUGAUUUCAUCCUUGCGUUGCUUCUAUCUUAUUCUUUGGUUCCUCCUGUCAUCGAUAUCCCAGUGCUUAUAUAACCAACGUUUUGCCUGAAGAAAGGCAGGCUCUGCCCGAAAGUUUACAUAUUAAAUAGCUACUCUGAC